UCGCAAGUGAGGUAAUCUUCACACAACCCAUGUAAUACAUAUGGGAAAAAGAUACAUAGUUGGCUUACAAUCGCCACUUCACACAAUUACAUGAAUAAAGCAUUACAUCAACCAGAUACAAUCAAGGUCCGACUACGGAUCCAAAAUAAAAGAAGAACCCCAAAUGCGACAAAGGUCCUCGAUCGACCCCAACUGGGCUCCACUACUGAUCAACUAGAACAGAAACAACACAAAGGACAAGAUCUUCAUCGAGCUCCUCCUGAGCUUGGUUGCGUCAUCUGCACGGACUCAACGGCACCUGCAAGCUGGUUUUUGGAAGUAUCUGUGAGCCACGGGGACUCAGCAAUCUCGCACCCGCGAGAUCAAGACUAUUUAAGCUUAUGGGUAAGAUAAAGGUAUGAGGUGGAGCUGCAGCAAGCGACUAGCAUAUAUGGUGGCUAACAUACGCAAAUGAGAGCGAGAAGAGAAGGCAAAGCACGGUCGAUAAAAGUAUGAUCAAGAAGUGAUCCUAUAGCAACCUACGUCAAGCAUAACUCCAACACCGUGUUCACUUCCCGGACUCCGCCGGAAAGAGACCAUCACGGUUACACACACGGUUGAUGUAUUUUAAUUAAGGUCAACUUCGGGUUUUCUACAACCGGACGUUAACAAAUUCCCAUCUGCCCAUAACCGCGGGCACGGCUUUCGAAAGUUCAAAUCCCUGCAGGGGUGUCCCAACUUAGCCCAUCACAAGCUCUCACGGUCAACGAAGGAAUAGACCUCCACCCGAGACAUUCCGAUCAGACUCGGUAUCCCGGUACAACAAGACAUUUCGACAGGGUAAAACUAAACCAGCAACACCGCCCGAAUGUGCCGACAAAUCCCGAUAGGAGCUGCACAUAUCUCUUUCUCAGGGCACACUCAGAUUGUCUUAGGUACGGGUAGGCCAACCCAGAGUUGCCCCUGGUGGUCACCGGUAGCUGACAGUUGGACCAACACUCAGAAGAGCACUGGCCCGGGGGGUUAAAAUAAUGAUGACCCUUGAGUCCGCGAAACCCAAGGGAAAAAGAGGCUAGGUGGCGAAUGGUAAAACCAAUGUUGGGCAUUGCUGGAAGAGCUUUACUUAAGGCGAACUGUCAAGGGGUUCCCAUUAUAGCCCAACCGCGUAAGGGACGCAAAAUCCGGGAACAUAACACCGAUAUGACGGAAACUAGGGUGGCAAGAGUGGAACAAAACACCAGGCAUAAGGCCGAGCCUUCCACCCUUUACCAAGUAUAUAGAUGCAUUAAUUAAGUAAGAUAUAUUGUGAUAUCCCAACAAGCAAAUAAAUGUUCCAACAAGGAACGGCAUCUCCAUGUUCCAACCAGGAACAAACUUCAAUCUUCACCUGCAACUACCAACGCUAUAAGAGGGGCUGACCAAAGCGGUAACAUAGCCAAACAACGGUUUGCUAGGACAUUGGUGGGUUAGAGGCUGAACAUGGCAAUUUGGGUGGCUGACAAGCAAGUGGUAGGCAUCGUAGCAUUGGCAUGGCAAAAGAGCGAGCAAACUAGCAUAGCAAGGAUAGUAGUGAUUUCGAGGGUAUGAUCAUCUUGCCUGAGAUCCCGCAAGGAAGAAGAACGAAUCCAUGAAGAAGACAAACGGACGUAGUCGAACGGGUCCUCACAAAAGC
rnacentral:lncRNA from 1 species